rnacentral:rRNA from 1 species
CUUGCACUUUUUCACCGCAGUAUUGAAAGAAAACACGAUAAAGUUCCGCCGCCGUGGAGAGUGCCGUCACAAGAAUGAAACUCAAGAAGAAGUGACGGGGGGCGCGCACAACGCGGUGGAGUAUGUGGUUUAUUUGAGAUGCAACGCGAAGAACUUUCCAUGGUCUUCACAUGUCGAGAACUUUCCAGAGAUGGAUUGGUGCUUCGUAACUUGAACACAGGUGCUGCAUGGCUGUCGUCAGCUCGUGUCGUGAGAUGGUGGGUUAAGUCCAGCAACGAGCGCAAUCCUUGUCCUUAGUUGCCAGCAUGUAAUGGUGGGAACUAUAAGGAGACCGCCGUCGACAAACCGGAGGAAGGUGGGGAUGUCAUCUAGUCAUCAUGGCCCUUUCGACCAGGGCUACACACGUACAACAAUGGUAGGGACAGAGGGCGGCAAACCCACGAGGGCAUGACAAUACCAGAAACAUCAUUUCAGUCCGGAUUGGAGUUUGCAACUCGACUUGCAGAAAUUGGAAUCGUUAGUAAUCGCAGAUCAGCAUGCGGCGGUGAAUACGUUCCCCGGCCUCACCACACCGGUAAAGUCACCCAUGGGAGUUUCUCCACCAGAAGCAGGUAGCUUAAC